ensembl:lncRNA
GUUCGCCCCCCCUACGCCCCUCCCCCUUGCUCCGAAGCGGGAUAUGUGCUGUCCGAAAGACUCACACAAAAGUAUGUUUAUUUGUCAAGCUGAUAUUGGCGUAUUCUCGUUUGUAUUUUGCUCGUUGUUACUGAGCAUGGCAGAUACAAUCCAACAACUGCCAUUCAAUCAACGCGAUCUGAGAGGAAGGGAGGAGGAAAACGGUGGUGGCAGGUGGUCUUCUCACCUGAGCAUGGAAGAGCCGCUCAAAAUCUUCUCUGAAACCAUGACCCUGUACAAGGAGCUGACUAAGAAAGAUCACAGGGUCAUCACCACGGUGGUCACUGAGGGGAAGGUGUUCUACGACGCGGAGGACUAUCCCCAGCAGUACCUGAAGACGGUCGCUAGGGGGUACUGUGGUCUCAUUGGGACCGGGAACAUGCCUACUCGGACUGGAUAAGGAGGAGUUGUGAGGGCAUCGGCCGUGAGGACCGAGAGAGAGGGUGCAAUAGAGAGAGAGAGAUGGUGUGGACCAAGGCACAGGUGCAGCUGCGACCUCUUCGAGCCUAUUUUAGUAUGGG